rnacentral:misc_RNA from 1 species
AUGCGAUACGUAAUGUGAAUUGCAGAUUUCAGUGAAUCAUCGAAUCUUUGAACGCACAUUGCGCCCGCCAGUAUUCUGGCGGGCAUGCCUGUUCGAGCGUCAUUUCAACCAUCAAGCCUUCGCUUGUGUUGGGGCCCCGCGGCUGCCGCGGCCCCCUAAAUCCAGUGGCGGGCUCGUCGUCGUACCGAGCGCAGUAGACAUCCUCGCUCCGGGAACCCGACGGGUGCCGGCCGUGAAACCCCCCACAUCAAGGUUGACCUCGGAUCAGGUAGGAAUACCCGCUGAACUUAA